rnacentral:rRNA from 1 species
GCAAGUCGAGGGGUAACAGAAUAGCUUGCUAUUGCUGACGACCGGCGCACGGGUGCGUAACGCGUAUACAAUCUACCUUACACAGGAGAAUAGCCCUAAGAAAUUGGGAUUAAUGCUCCAUAGUAAUAUUAAAUCGCAUGAUUUGAUAUUUAAAGUUUCGGCGGUGUAAGAUGAGUAUGCGUCCUAUUAGUUAGUUGGUAAGGUAACGGCUUACCAAGACAGCGAUAGGUAGGGGGCCUGAGAGGGAGAUC